rnacentral:rRNA from 1 species
AUUGAACGCUGGCGGAAUGCUUUACACAUGCAAGUCGAACGGCAGCAUAGGUGCUUGCACCUGAUGGCGAGUGGCGAACGGGUGAGUAAUACAUCGGAACGUGCCCAGUCGGGGGGGAUAACGUAGCGAAAGUUACGCUAAUACCGCAUACGAUCUAAGGAUGAAAGAGGGGGACCGUAAGGCCUCGCGCGAUUGGAGCGGCCGACGUCAGAUUAGGUAGUUGGUGAGGUAAAGGCUCACCAGGCCGACGAUCUGUAGCUGGUCUGAGAGGACGACCAGCCACACUGGGACUGAGACACGGCCCAGACUCCUACGGGAGGCAGCAGUGGGGAAUUUUGGACAAUGGACGCAAGUCUGAUCCAGCCAUUCCGCGUGCAGGACGAAGGCCUUCGGGUUGUAAACUGCUUUUGUACGGAACGAAAAAGCUCUUACUAAUACUAGGAGUCCAUGACGGUACCGUAAGAAUAAGCACCGGCUAACUACGUGCCAGCAGCCGCCGCCG